AUACCUUCUCGGCCUUCAGGCUAAGAUCAAGUGUAGUAUCUGUUCUAAUCAGUGUGAAAACUGGUUUUCGCCUUUUGGCGGACUUUUUCACUCGCAUUUUUGGGCACUCGGCUGCGGCUAGCUUGCUAGCGGCGGACGAGCGGUCUCCGGGGGCGUUCACCUUUCCCCCGCGAGGCCAACUACAC
rnacentral:snRNA from 1 species